rnacentral:rRNA from 1 species
UACGGGGGGAGCAAGCGUUGUUCGGAUUUACUGGGCGUAAAGGGCGCGUAGGCGGCCACCGCAAGUCGACUGUGAAAUCUCCGGGCUUAACCCGGAAAGGUCAACCGAUACUGCAGGGCUAGAGUGCGGAAGGGGCAACUGGAAUUCUCGGUGUAGCGGUGAAAUGCGUAGAUAUCGAGAGGAACACCUGCGGCGAAGGCGGGUUGCUGGGCCGACACUGACGCUGAUGCGCGAAAGCUAGGGGAGCGAACGGG